rnacentral:misc_RNA from 1 species
AUGUAAUAAAGUGUGGAGACAAUGGGGAAACAAGUGCGACGUCAGGCAGCAGAGGGCGGAGCAUUAUGGGCGGAGACGGCGUUUAAGAGGUGGUGGGUUGCCUUUUCGAAAUUGACAAAACCCAUAAACCAAAACUCAUGAUUGUCAACUGAGAUGACCUGGAUGUACUUCUCAGCUGGAUUGAUCUUGCUAAUUGAUGGAUUAACAGCUUUAAGUUGGUCUACAGGGAGAACCACCUUGUAGUAGCUAUAUUCUGUCAGAUCACCAACUUUGUAUGAAAGAGGAUUAUCACUACAAAAUGCUAGUUUUGCAGUGGAUAAGUACAGAACUCCCAUGACCGGACCAGCAGAAGUAGAUAAGUAGCAUGCAUAUGACUUCAAAAGCUUUUCCUCUGGGACAGUCUCAAAUGUUUGUCUGAAGACUUUUUCAUAACCACCUUCUGCCAAGACCAUUGUUCCAUGAGCAAUUCUUCCCAUAGCCGCAUCAGCCAAACUGGGGCUUGUUUUAAAGUGCUGCCACAU